rnacentral:lncRNA from 1 species
CCAGCCAAGCUCCUCUCCGGCUUGACUCGCCCAUUCGCAGUCCAGUGACUCCACUAGGAUCUGAAUCACUCUUUUACUCGAGUUCUUCUGGUACCCUAUCACCAUCAUCACCUGCUCGUAUGGUUUCGGAGGAGGAGAAGGUAAUCGCUGAGAAGGGCUUUUACUUGCACCCAUCACCAUUAAAUACGCCUAGAGGAACGCAACCACCGGAGCUCUUAACACUUUUUCCAAUAACUUCACCAGGUCAGGAGAAACGAGACUAGGUUAUUCUAUUAAUAUGCUAAAAAAAAUGAUAGUAAAACUUUUUACAACUUUUUCCCCUUGGAUCAUUUGUGGGUUAAAAGGUGUUAUUAUUACUAUGGGUGUAUGAGUAUCCUUGUCUGAAGAGGUUGAUAUCAUGGUUUCUUGUAGUUUAACAGGGUAGAAAUUUUGUUAAUUACAUGUUACAGAAAUUAUCAUGAAUAAUUAUCUUUAUUAUUCUCAUCUGCAAUCCUCUUAUUUUCUCUAAAAAUAAAGUAGAAAUUGUGUAUGAAAUAAUAUUCAACGUCUCAGAGAUUAUCCAUGGAGAUUUAGAAACGAGACCAUAUGUAAUGGCAAUAUUGCCAACCUGAUAAUGUCUGGCUUUCUUAUUUUUAAAUUACUUUGAUUUGACAGACCUUCCACCUGCUUCUGACUUACGGAUGAUAAAACAUGUUUAAACAAUAAUAAUUACAGUUACAAGUCAUAAAGUUUACCACAAUUGGCUAUAACUUACCUAUCAAGGAUUUUUGGUGAGGUUAGCAACUAGGAAGCUGUGUAUCCGUCUCUUUUAUUAGCAAGUGGGAUGAGAGAAAUUUAUUAGUAAAUUUUCGAACCUUUAAUCUGACUGUAGUACUACAAUUUCGGACUUUAAAAGUAGUCGUUGUUUUAGGCUUUUGACCUUUUUUCCUCAGAGCAAUAGUGUGAUUAACAUGGUUAGCAUUUCUCAGUUUAAUUUAUAUUUUUAUUCCUUUUUUUAUGAUUAAAAGAUUAUCUAAUGGGGGUAAAGAGUGAGUAGCAGGGUUUAAAUAUGUAGUAAACAGGUGUUUUAUAAAGAAAUUAAUCAUUAUUUUACACGAGUCAAGACAAAAGAUUAUAAAAUAUUAUGCACUAAUGUAAAAAGAAUUUUAAAAAUAUUUGUAACAAAUCUGUGAAAUAAAAAAUUCAUAAGAAUUUCCGUGACCGUGGUAAUAUCUGUUAUAUUCUUAAUUAUUAUAGAUUAUAUAAUAAAUAAAUAAAAACAUUUAGGGGUUAUAACUUCUUCAAAAUUACUAUUAUCUAAGUCUCUAAUUGAGUGACGUAAUAAUUCAAUUGAGCACCAACUUAAUUAGAUAAAUUAUAAAAAUAUUUUUUCACAAUUAGACUAAGUUAUAUUAUUUGAGGUUAUUUUACUUUUUUUUUUUAAUUUUAACAAAGAAUAGUAAAGUUAUAUUUUAACCCACGUUAAUUAGACUAAUAAAACAUUCAAUUUACCAUAAAAUAAAGCUUCAUUUUAAUAGUAUUUAUAUAUAUUUUUCAUUUUAAUAUACCCAAGUUAUUACCUUUAUCUAUUGUAUAUAUUAAUAAUGUUAUUGAUUGAGAUGGUAUUACAAGUUAAUUCAACACCAACUCAAGAUUGAUAAUAACAUCAUUGUAACAAUUGUAGCCAUUUAGUAUUCUUAACUUGAUGUAUUUAAGCAUUUAAAUUUUAUUUUUCUCACAAUUUAAUUUAAUUUUUAUCUAUUUAAUAUUAUACAAAUUUAAUAUAUUAUUAAUUAAUUUCAAAUCAUAUUAUUUCUAAACACUGAUUUUCAUACAAAUUUGUAGUAAAAUAAUAAGUAAUUAGUUUGCCCAUGGUUUCCCUCUUGACGCGGUUUCCAAUUGCUCUACCGUUGAAUUUCAUGAGACUAAUCAAAGUCGUGGUCUAAUCUAAUCAAUUGCUUUACACGAUUUUGUUUGGUUUCGUAGUUUCUACAUUUUCGUCUGAUGAUAAUGAUUGGAUAUCCCCUGUUUCCUGCUUUAGUUUGACUUGAGUUUCAAUUGGCAUUACCUGUACAAAUACUUUAAUUAUUAUUAAAAUAUAUAAUUUCAUAGUAAUAAUUAAAAAUAAAAAUUAUAAUACACAAUGAAAAAAUAUAAAAAGAAAUCAAAUAAAAUUCCUCAAGUAAAAGACUAAAUAGUAAAAAUAUCUAACAUACGCAGUUAAUGAUGUGUGUGUAAUUUUAAUGUUUGGAGAACAACAUUUUUCACAGUGAAAACACUCUCAAGACAUUCAUACCAAUUUAGCUAGCAUCAGAAAAGUAAAACGUGUGGGUCUUUUGCAGACAGUGGCGUAAUGGAGUUGUUUUAGCUAAUUAUUAUAUGCUUCGUCCAUCUAUUUUCUACUAAUUCACAUUUGGCCAAAUGAAAAAUAUACAUUAAUUAGACCAAAUCAUUAGAUAUCUAAGCCUAUUUGUGUUGUUUUCAAAACUAGUCAAUUAAGCAACAAAAUGAGUAUAUUUCACAUUGAAGGAUAAAUUACGGGGGCAAUCUUGAUGGAGACUUGCAUUAUCGCCUUGUCCUUGAUUAACUAGAAACCCUUAUGUGCUGCAGUAUUAGAACUUGUGCGUGUCGUAUGGGGGUAACUUCAAUAACGUGGAUUAGUUGCUAAGUUGUUUGCUUUGACAAGAAAACUGGAUUUUCCCUUUGCUUUAAUCAGGAUCUACUCUUCUUUAACGACUAAUGCAGUGCUAUAAAACUGAAUGGUUCAGAUAUAAAGCAACCUAGCUAAAAAAGCAUCAGAAAAAAUGCUCCGAAAUUUCCUUGGACAAUAAGAUGUUCUUUUUCCCGUAUAGACACAUUAAAAAAAAGGUCAAGCAAUACAUCAAAAUCUGGCCAAAUAACGAGAAACAUCCAUGAUUGUUAACUCAACAUCAAAGGGUUGGGAAUGGGAAUGUGCAAUUUGAAAUUGUCACUUGGACAAGACAUUUCCAUCAUUUCUUCUUCAUGAUCAGCCUUUGAAAUUUGUCAAUGAUAGUGAAUUUGAGAGCAUUCCCUCCACUUCUACACACCACUUUUCUUUUUUAUCAAACAAAGAAAUUCUAUAGAUUCUAAAGGCGAGGAAAAAAAAGUUCAAACAUAUAUAUUGGAUUAUAUCACUCUCAUGAUGGGAUAAAAUAAGUUUAUGUAAAUAAUAUAUUUAUAGAAAUUUUAUUCAUUUGAUCAAUCAUGGAUGGAGUAUUGAUGAAAGAUUUGAAUACUAAAUCUUCGUCAAUUUCAAAUUCAAUAUUUGAUUAUAUAAUUUAUUAAUGCGAUUUUAUAAUUCUUUCAUUUACAUUGAUAUUUGAUUAAUUCGAUUAAGAAUUUUAUAAUAAUAUAAAUAAAAAUAUUUUUCAUCAUAUAAUUAGACCACUCAAAAAACUGACUUAUCAAUAUUAAAAUUUACCCAUUUUCUUCAAUUCACGUUAUACGAGUAUAUAACCGUUGUCCUUCCUUCUAUAAGAUGUCUAGACCCAGCUGGAUGCCUUUAUUGUUACUUGAAGUUUGAUGAUUCAUGCAUAUAUAGACUCUUGCCUCAAUUGGGGAUUGGAUUGGCAUAUCCUUUCCUUUCCUUUCUUUUCUUUUCUCAAUAAAUAUCAAUCAACUCUUAUUACUAUUUUUCAACUUUAAAAUUAUUCUAUUUAUUAUAUAGAUUUUAAAACCCUAGAUUCAAACCCUAUAUCUUUUAGAUCCUAAAUCUUAGUCUAAUAUUCUCCCUAAAAUCAUAAAUUUUAAAAUUCUAAGUUUUAGUUCACCAUACCAUAAAUCAUAAAUCUAGUUGAACAAAAGAAAUUACUAAUUAAGAGUAAAAUAUUAUUAAGAAGAAUCAAUUUAGUAUUAGAAAGUGUAUUAUAUUAAUUAGAAGUUGUUUUAAAAAAUAUUAAAUGACACAUUUUAUUAGAUACUUAAUUUUUUUUUUUUUAAAUAAUCCUAAAGCAAUCAUUUAUUUUAUGGUUUUUUUAUCUCUUAUACGAUAAACAAAGAAAACGUUGAUGAAUGUUAGACGAUGGCUGAAGUCAAAUAACUCAAUGUAUACACAUUUAAGCAUGAUCGGGAAAAUCUGACUUAAUUAUGCACCUACAUCUUUUACACGUAAUUAAUGAACAAAUAUACAAUUAAAAAACCAACAAGAAAAAUAACAUUUCAAAAAUUGUUGUCUUCUUUUAAUUAAUUAAACAUGGUAUAUUAGCUUAGGUUUUAGGGGUUUUCCUUUAUAAGAAUUUACCUUCGCUUUGUUUUCUUGUCAUUAUCAUAUAAAAUAUUAAAAAUAUUCAUUAAUUACAAUCAUAUAUAGAACCAUUUAACUAUGGAUAAAAACUGAAAAAAAUAAAUAAAAAUACAGACUUUCUGUUGGGAUUAAUAAUACCUUGUUUUGAAUUUUUACAUGAGAGUUUGAAUUGUAUAUGAAAGUUGAAAGUUAAAUGAUCAUCUAUUAUUUGAAAAAAGAAAAGAAAAGAAAUUUCACUAUGAAAAAUCCACUUAUAACAGGAGAUUUGUCAUUGGAUUUGGAUCUUAUUUUGAUUCUAUUAUGUCACUACACCAGGGGCGAAGUUAGAGAAAAUUUUAUAGGGGGUCGAAAUAAAAUUUUAAUUUUUAAUAGUAUAUAUCUUUAUAAUUUUUAGAGGGUUAAAUCAAAUUUUUAUAAUUUUGGGGGUUAAAAAUAUAAUUUUAUUUUUACUAAUUUAAAAUUUUAAAAUUUUCUAAAAGGCCUAAAUAGUUAAUUUUUUAUUUUAAGGGAUCGAUACCCCUGCUAGCUCUCUAGAUUCGUCUCUGGACUACACCUUUUUCUUUUUUUUUUCCUAAACUAGUACAUUUUUUUAUAAUUUAUUCUUUUAUAAUUGUGCUUUAAGGUAUAUAUCACAUAUUUUUUAAAAAUUAUACAUAUUGUAUUUGUAUUAAUUUUUUAGAAUAUAUGGUACCCAUGAUGUAGAUGAAGUUUAACCUUAAUUGUUUAACCUUUAUUUUGAAAGUAAACAUUUAAUUUUAUAUUUAAUAAUAGAGUAUGAGUAGAGUGAUGAUAAAAUAAUUUUAAAGUAUAUUUUUAUUUUAAAAAUGUAGUGUUUUUUAAUUAUCACGUCAAUUUUGUUGUUAAUUUCUAAUGAUCAAUAAAAAAAUUUAUUAAUCAAAAUUAUCAGUUCAAAAGUUAAUUAAUUAAAAAUAAUAGUAAGCCUUAUCAAAUUACGGUGUGCACGUCCGUAUGAUGCCUUCAAUUUUAUUUAAUUUUUUAUGCACAGAAGUACAAUCAUAAACGACGUAAUAAUGGUUUCGCCCAACUAUAAAGAUUAUAAAGAUGGCAAAUUUCUCGACACAAGACUUUCAAAACCUCUACCCAAACCCAAUAAGUACUUUCACAUUUUUGGGCUACCAAAAGCCUGUAUUUCUUUCUAACCAAAUAUCUUUUAUGUCAGCCCGAAAAAUAAAAAAAAUUGAGUAAAAAUAUAAAUUUAAAAAAUAAGUUAAAAAAAAAGGGUAAGAUUCACUCAGAAAACAGGUGGACAUUGGGUAAAUUUUUUUUAAUCUAAGCUCAACCUAAAUUUACAAAAAAAAAAAAACUAUUGUUUUAUUGUCAAUUUAUUAUUAUGUUACUAUUAUUUUAUUGUUAUUAUUUAGAUAUUGUUAAUUUUGUUAUUAUUUUAUUACCAUUUACCUAAAUUUACUUGUUAAAUUACACAUAUAUUAAUAAUAUUUAAGUAUAGACAUAUUUAUUUUCAAUUUAAUGCCAACUCUAAUCCAGACCAUGGACAACUCUAUUGCCAACUCAGUCUAAUAAUGGAAUCUCCACUAUGUAAUGCAACUUUGCUUCCUCUUAGAUAUCCUGGAUCCUUUUGGGAUUAGCCAGAUAUUAAUAUGCCCCAAGAAUUAAUUACUCCAUUUUCCUUCAGCUUUCUAGUUUCAUUGUCAUAAUUCCGACUUUUGAGCAAAUGCAAGAAAGCUUGAGUUUGGGUAGGAAAACGGUCAUUUAAGGCAUACAAAAGUGAACUCCCUGAUUUGGGGGGUUCAAUCAAUUAAAAUCUUUGUCACUAUUAACGCUCAGGCAAUUAAUUGCUGAAAGUUUACAGAGCUUUCUAGUGUGUAUUGCCUUGCCUUGCCACGUUGAAGGACUCACGUGCCAACGGUUGACCAGUAAAUGGACUGGGCCCCACAAAUCCUACGACAGCAUGCAUCUCCCCCUUUUUAUCAAAAGUUCAGAAAAAAAAAGGGCUCCUCCGAAGUUUAAAUCGCCACUUCAGCGGGGCUCGUCCCAGAUAUUAACGAUCUUUCCUUGACAUUUAACCACUUGUCACUCUCGCAGUCUUGUCCUCAAACUAACGGCAAUAUUAAAAAAGAGAAAAUUCUCAAAUCAAAGACUUAAUACCUUUCGUCAUUAACGCACAUAUUGGUUCCACCGAUUGUUUGUGAAUCAGUUUAAAAACAUCCCCCCUGCUUCAGCUAAAUAUGGUUGCGUGAUUGCACACAAAUAAGAUCAGAGAAGAUCCCGACACAGCUUUUACCAUGGAACUCAAAGUUUUAUAGCAAUUUCAAAGCCAAUUCUUGUUUCUUCUUUCUUUUUUGUAAAAAGUCAAAGUUUCAGCGUCUACCAUACUGUUUGGUGUUUUGGGGGUGAUGGGUUUGAAGUAUAAUGCUGGGCUAGGAUUGAUUGCUACUGUUGUGUUUAUAUGGGUCGUAUCUGCAGAGGUAACACAGGUGUGUGUGUCUAUUUGUUAUACCCUGUUUCCUUUUAUUGUUUGCUUGCCAAUAAAAGGCUGGAAAAGGAAAGAAAAUUUGAAUUGAUUUGUGUUCUGAAACGUUUACAGGAACCAAGUUAUUGCUUUGUUUUCUGUGCCUUUCGUCUUUUCUGAUUUGACUAUUUUAUGAGGGAUACUUUUCAUUGAUUCUCAUUUCUCAGUCCUAUAACAUUUUAUAAGAAUUCCGAAACUAUUGUUCUAGUUAGAUAAUUUGAGAUUUUUAUGGAUAUUUUUUUGGUUAAUAUUUAUUGAAGAUCAGAUAGUUCAUUCGACUCGCAUCCGCAUAGGUGGAGUUAAAGAAUCUGUUCAAAACUUGAUGAUCAAUUUUCGGCUAAUCCUUAUUAUAUGUUGUUGUUGCAGAGGAUUUUCUCAGAAUACAAACAGCCAUUUGCACUCACUUAUCUUGGAGUGUCCCUUAUGGUUGUUUAUUUACCCAUAGCACUUUUAAAGGAUUGGAUCUGCAACUUAUUUAAUUCGAAUUUAUAUAGAAACCUCUACGAUGGCAGCUCGGUUAUCGAUACCUCAAUUGGACUUGAUGAGUUGCCCCAAAGUGCAGAAGCUGACCUUAAAAGAUGCCUGAUAACUGACAAGGAUCUUAGUGAAAGAGAAGAGGGGCAGCCUCUCAACUCAAGUACUGAGAAAGAUGGACCUGACUUGCCCGACCAUGUCGGUGGAACGAGUUCAUGGGAAACUGCCAAGUGCAGUUUAUAUCUAACUCCAAUUUGGUUUACAACUGAGGUAACAUAAUUUUGUCCUUAUUUCUUUUGUCAGAAUCAUUAGUUAAUUACACUUUUUAUUAGGGGGCUGAUAUAAGUUAAUACCAAUAAGAUUUCAAGCAUGUGUGCAUUUGUGGUGAUGCAUGAUUAAUACAGUUGCUUUGAUAUCUUGCAGUAUUUAUCAAAUUCUGCACUGGCAAAUACCAGUGUUGCGAGUACUACCGUCCUAACAUCUACUUCAGGGCUCUUUACACUUUUCUUCGGAGCUCUCCUCGGCCAGGACAGUGUAAAUGUUGCGAACGUGGUUGCUGUAUUUAUUAGCAUGACUGGUGUUGCUAUGACCACAAUUGGAAAGACAUGGGCAUCGGAUGAAAUGCUUAGUGUCUCUGAGUGCGUUGGGUCUUUCUUCGCUAGUUAUUUCAAUAAUUUAUAAACAUUUCCUUAUUCCUAAAGAAUACGUUGAAUCUACCGUGGAAGGUUUAUAAAUUCAUGCUGUAGACUGUUUAGGCUGCUCGAGUAGUAAUAUGCAUAAGAUGCUCUUCGUAUAAUCCCUGCAAUGGAAAUGGUUUUUGCAUUUUUGUUUCAUGAUUUUCUUUUUUAUGGAACCAUGUGUUGUUCAUGUUGUCUAGAGCUAGAAGACACUCCAUCAUGGGGAAUAUAUUUGGUCUUCUGUCUGCAAUUUCAUAUGGUUUAUUUACAGGUAGGCUUUUUUCUAUGCAUCUAAAUUGAAUACUGACUUUAAUCUAUUUAAUUUGGUGAGACUGCUUCUCUGCUCUUCUGUUUUAUUCAGUCACUGGUCAAUUUAUGCAGUUCUACUCAAGAAAUCUGCUGGAUCAGAAGGAGAGAAAGUCGAUAUGCAGAAAUUCUUUGGAUAUGUCGGUCUCUUUACUCUUCUUGGCCUUUGGUGGCUUGGUAAACAAUCUGUUAAAUCUCCUUGUGACUUGGUGCAUGCUUGUUCUAUCUUUUCUCUUAAAAUGUAAAUGCUCAUCUUAUUUGCAGUGUGGCCACUUAAUGUUGUGGGGAUAGAACCUCCAUUUGCAUUCCCCCAUUCAGCAUCUGUUGGAGAGGUAGUGCUUUUUAACGGCUUUGUAGGAAGUGUUCUCUCAGACUACUUCUGGUAUGUAUGUAAACCUCCUUUCACUUUUGAACUAAUUGAAUGCUACUAGGACCCGAAACGAGCGAACCAUUUUCGUUGCGUUAAUCUAUAGCCAACAACCGUGUCAGUAUUAUGGACCUGGCUUAUUGCUCAGUUAGCACGAAGAACCAAUCCAAUACAGGGUGAUGGUUUUGUUAGAGAUUUUAGUCGUUGAAAAAAAUGAUGCAGGGCUCUUUCCGUGGUUUGGACAACUCCAUUAGUUGCAACAUUAGGAAUGUCAUUGACAAUACCCCUAGCAAUGGUAGCUGACAUGAUUAUACAUGGCCGACACUUCUCCGCAGUAUACAUCUUUGGGUGCAUUCAGGUAGCUUAACUAGUAUUCUCUUCCGUUUUUACUUUCUCCUUGGGUGCUGGUUGAAGCCUUGGCUUUCUCGAGCUUCUUACAACUACUUUAAAAAACAGUUGUGUAUAACUUGUUUCACCACAUUCGUGGAUACAGGUGUUUGCAGGUUUUGUUAUAGCUAAUGUGUCCGACAAUUUUUCGAGAAAACCGCAAUUGUAGCAAGUUUCAGAGGAGCGUAAAAUGUUUUUAAUAUUUUAAAUGUAAAACAAUGAAACAGUUGUAGGGGUGUGGGAGAUUAGACGCUUAACUCAAGUAAUGUUGUCUGGUAUUAGAGCAAAACAUGAACAAUAAGGGUCAAUCCAUAUUAGCUUUGCUUUCUAUAUGUUAAAUCAAAUAUUACAUGAACAAUGGUUUGUGGCUUGAAACGGGGAUGUUGAAUUUGGAAUAUUUUUCCACUUAGAAAAUAAUUUGUUGAAAGAAAAGGCAUAUCAUAUCGCAAAGAUUUUUACUUCUAUAACGAGAUAUCACAUUCACAUGUUUUAAUAACUUUUGUAAAAUUAAAUAUAAAUAUUACUUUAAAAAUGCAUUUAAAAUAAAUGAACAAAUUGAUUAUUUGGAUAUAGAAUUAGUAGAAACUUGAAACCUAUAUUUUUACAGGGAGAAUAUAGUACAUUUUUAUUUUCUUGAAAAAUGAAAAAAUAUUAAAGAAAAUGUUUAAAAUAGGUAGAUUUAGAAAUUAAACAAAGUGCUUUUACUAAAUAUGUGCUGCAAAACUGGAAAAGUUUAUUUUAUAAUGAAUCUAGUUUUUUUAACCCUUGGGAUAAUAUGAUUCCAAGUAUUGUUUCUGUUAUAUAUUACAUACAAUCAUGUAAUUAAUAAAUGUUAAUAUAUAAAUAUCAAUAUUUUAUUCUUUAAAUUAGUAUUGAAAUAGAUAAAUAAAUAAAUUCUUUUAAAAUUUGCAUAUAACUUAUUUAAUUUAUUUUUUAAAAUAUUAUAUAAUUAGCAAGAAAACACAAUUUCAUAGGAGAAUUCUCAUCCAUAAACAAAAAUGUGUUUUUUUUAAAUUGAAAAUAUUUAUCCUUUUUUUUUACAAAAAAAAAAAAACAACUUUUGAAGUUUUAGAUUGGGUCAGAGUUAAAGAGUAAAAGUUGUUGGAAAAAGAUUUGCUUAUUAAAAUAUAAUCCAAAUUGGAAUUAAAUUGAAAUUUAAGGAUUAAAUUGAAAAAACUAUUAAAUUUGAGGAUUAAUGUGAACUUAAAAAGGUUGAAGGAUCAAGUUUUAAAAGUUUCCAAAUUCAGUGAUUAAAGUUAAAAGAAAAAUGUAAAAUAGUAAUUGAUUAGUGUAUUAUUUAGUUUGGGUUUGAUUUUUGGUUUUUUUAUUAUCUUAAUUUGAUAUUUGAAUUUAGUUUUAACCUUAAUUUAAUAUUCAGAUCAAAUAUAAUAUCAUAUAAUUUAAUUAAAUAUUCUACAAGAAAGGUAUAGAUAUUUAAUUAAGAAAAAAAAAUCUCAAAUACUAAUUAAAUAUUAAAAAACUCAAAUAUUUAAUUACAAUAAAAAAUUAAUAUCAAAUUAAAAAAAACUCUAAUAUCAAUUUCAAUAUUAAAAUAAUAUUGAAACUAAACCCGAUACAAUAUUAACCCAACAGUAAAAGCGGCCGUCAAAAUCGAAGGAGAAGCUGCCGUAGUCCCAAGUACGAAACUCGGAAAGGUAGAGAGAAACGAAAAGAAAGAUGGAGAAAGGCAAAGGAAUAAUGGGGUCCGGCCGAAGAUGGGCCGUUGAUUUCUCCGAUAAUUCCACUGCUCCUUCUUCUCGUGACAUUCCCGAUCCUCCCGGCUUCGCUCGUGCCUCUGUGGAUCAGGUUUCCCUUUUUUCUUUUCUAGAAUUGUUUUCUUUAAUAAAUGUUUUCACUUUCAAUUUUUAUUAGGUUUCACUUUGGGGGCUUCACCUUUUUUAUUUUGACAGGACGAUUCGACUGUAAGUCGUCAAAAGAAGGAUGCUGAAUCCAAUUGGAAAGCUCAGGUUUCUCUUUUUUAACCCUGUGUUUUAAUUUGAUUUCCUUUUGGAUCUUAAACACUUGAAUUUUUCAAUUUUGUUGUGAUUUAAUUAUGGACGUAGUUGGAAAAACUAUGCAUCUAACUGGAAAAUUACUAUUGCAAGUCAUGAAUAAGUGUACUGGAUGUUUAGGCUAAUAAGUUCAUGGAACAGAUUGAAUUCAUCUGGGGCUUUUCUAGUUAUUCAUAGGGCAUUUGUUACAACGAGAAUUGUUUCUGUAUUGCUGGUCCCUUAUUCACCACACUUUUAGCCAAUGCAUGUUCAGAAAGCAUAAGGUCUGUGGCAUAGCAAUAAGUUACUACCUAUGUUGUGAUGCAUGGAUCAUCAAUGUUGUUUCUUUAUUAGAUGUGUAACACUAGAUCGCAUUUCAGUUCAGUAUGUAUGGAAGAUUUAAAAGUAAAGAUAAAGGGGAAAGCAUUGAUGAUGUCUUGCUUCAUGCAUGAUUAAGAUUUGAGGGUUGGUAUGUGGUUUAGUUCUAGUUAUUGUUUGAUGCUCAUGGGAAAUAGUAUUUGAUGGCAAGAUUGAGUAUAUCACAUUUAGCUGGUUUAUGCGUUCCUUUAGAACCAAUCAAAAUCUGUUACUUAAGAUGGUAUUUCCUUUACUUUUGAACAGAAAGCUUGGGAGGUGGCACAAGCACCUUUCAAGAAUUUGCUAAUGAUGGGCUUCAUGAUGUGGAUGGCUGGAAAUACUGUGCAUCUCUUUAGCAUUGGUAUAACUUUUUCUGCACUUUGGCAGCCUAUCAGUGCUCUUCAAGGGGUUGGGAAGGGUAAGUGGCCUCUUACUACUAAAUUUUCUCUUAUCCUGUAUUAUUACCUUAUUGUUUUUUCUUCCUAUAUUUCUCCAUGAUUUGUUUUAUUUAUUUUGAGUGGCUAAAUUUUCAAAAGAGGAAAGAAUAAGGUCGGUAAGAUACCCUAACCAAGAAUGAAAUAAUUAACCCUUUACGACUACAAGGUACUAAUGAGGCAUUUCGUUGUUAAGAAGAAACCUAUCUAAUUUGCUUGUGUAGUCUCCAUUUAUGCUUUGGCACUUCAUUGUUAACAAGCUUAAUUGUUAUAAUCUCCAUUUAUGCUUGGCAUCGCUCUCCAUUUCUAUCUAGGUACAAUAGCCUAUUUCCCCCUUGUAAAAUGUAUAGGAUGUGUAAGAAUGACAAUCUGCAAAUGUUUUUGAGCAAUUUCUUUUCUAAAGUUGAUUCUAUUUCACUUUGAUUAUGCAGUUUUUGAGCCUUAUAAAGACAAUAAAGUAGAUCUUCUUGGGCCUAAGUUACUUUUCAUUGCCCUUAAUUUGGGGGGCUUAGCACUUGGUGUUUGGAAGGUGAGUUGCAAUUUCCUUUUGUCAGUUCCUAAUGAUUUUCCCCAUGAAGACUAUUAGACAGAAGGAAAUGGGACAACACCUGAGUUAUCUAAUAUCGUGCAUCUGUUUACUUGGUUUAUUUGGUUCUACAGCUUAACACGUUGGGGCUUCUUCCUACACAUGCAUCAGACUGGGUGUCAUCCUUACCCCCUGCUCAGGUUGAUCCCUUUUUCCUUUGCACAAAGUUUAUUUUCAGUUAUUGUUCCUAUGGAAUCCAGCACAAUCCAACAACAAGGUUUAAAGUGAAAAUUAAGGGGGCAGGGGAAGGGACUGGAUUAAUGAAAUAUUUCAUCUGAUUAAGUAACAUCUAAUGCUAAGUGCUAGUGGGUGACUGUAGAUAUAUGAAGAUUCCAUUAUAUGUUAUAACUGGCUCUGACCAUCUUAAGCAAUUCAUCAUUUAAAUCCAUGUCUACUGACUUGAUAAAACUGUUCAUGCUUUUUUUAGCAUAUGUGGCUACCAUUGUCACAAAUGGUGAGCGUAUUUGAUGCUAUGACUGGUGUUAUGUCGAGCCUAUUUACUAACUCUCGCUUUAAAUUGAUCAAAUUUUCAGGAGGUAGAGUAUUCGGGUGGAGGUAUUCCUCUAUAAUAACGUGUUUGUUUGUCUUUGGUGAUCUGAUCAAUUUCUGGAGGUGGUGAGUUGACUUGUGGAAGGCGGGUCGAAAUUUCUUGUGAAGAUGGAGAACAACACCACCUUUAUGUUAAAUUUUAUGAAACAUGUAGUUGUAGUACGGCACGACAUGAUUAAGAACAUAGGAAUUGUUUAUUUUGUUGACUUACGAAUCCAAACCUAAAUUAUGUUCAUUAUUUGGGAAAAUUCGAUUUCGUUACCAUAGCGAUGGAGUUUUUUGAUUUCAUAAAAUGAGAUUAAAAAAUUAUCUCAUUGUUAUCUAAAUGAUUUAUUUCUUAAAUCUAAAAUAAAAUUAGAAGUGUGACUCUCUUCAUUUGUAAAAUCCAAAAGCUGCUUUGAACUGAAUUUGGAGAGGGCAUAUCAAAAUUUUUAACUUGAGCGUUAAAAUUUUUGGUAUUCGCGUUAACAUUAAAAAUUUUGUUAUGCUUUGUUCUUUUUUCGAGCACAUAGCCAGACUCCAUAAUAAUUUGGUCAAUUCAACGGCAAUGACCCCUCAAAGCCCGUCUAAUGGAAGACAAAAAUUGAGCCAUCCCUGGGAAUUCAUCGAAAUCUGGCGAGGGUAUCUUUUAUAAGUUUCUUCAUGGUAUAAGUGCUGGUAGGUAAAUCCAUGAUGCAGACAGAAUACAAGAGUAGCUUUGCCUUUAGCAAUCAGGGUCGAUCUCCUUUGUCCCUCGAAUUAAUGGCUACUUCGAUUGAAUUAGGCCGCUCUGCUCUACCUGCAGGCAAAAUUAAUGUGGUCUACAGGAAGCUUCCAAUGGUUGCCAAAUCAGGGUUGACAAAAUUGGUUGCACUGCAUAUUGUCAUCGGUACACAAUCUGAAAUUUCUGUUCCUUUACGACGUUAACAGUCUAACGAUGCGAUUUAGCAUUUCGAGGAAGGAAUCGUUAGAGGUUAAGCUUUUGCCAACUCUUAACCUGUUCUUUAUAGUUUACUUUUCCAAACCUCUAUAACUUUGCCUGGGUUCCUACAAACUAUUCUCUUGUUCUACUUUUUAUUAAUGAAAUAAUCUCUUUACAAGUUAUUCUACUUUUGAGCAGUAAUCUGUAGUAAUAUUAAAACUAGUUAGUACCAUGACUUAAUGAAGACACCAGUUCAGUUUAGAAGUUGAUGUGUUCUUAAAUGUUUCAUGUGAAGGAGCUCGGCCAGGUGCAACUAAUGCAUGACUACCCAUCUACCUCUCUGACAGAAGAAGCUUAAGCCAUAAAUGCAGCUUUAACUAGAGGAAAUUCAUGGGGGCAUGGCGACCUUUGGCCAUUUGAACGCCUCUUACUUUAAUUGGAUCAUUCUCGGUAUAAAUAUUAUAAAACUGACGGCCACUACUAGUUUUGCACUUAUGCUUGACAAUCAGGGCUUCCAUGGAGUCCAAAAUUUCCAUCUUUCUCCCAACAUAUAAUCUCUGCAAUCUUCUCGUUCUUGUUUUCUUCUGUUUUGCUGCUUGUCCUUCACUUGGUCGCCUCUCUUUCAACUUCUAUGCAACAUCAUGUCCCGCUGCAGAGUUGAUGGUGAGCAACACUGUCAGGGCAGCUUCCUCCAAUGAUCCAACCAUCCCCGGGAAACUACUGCGCUUGUUGUUCCAUGACUGUUUCGUGGAGGUCAGUCCAAUGGUGAUUAGACACCUUAUCACCUUGAAAGUUGCAUGAUGUAUUUUUCUAAAUUGUCAUGUUCAGGGUUGUGAUGCAUCAGUACUAUUACAAGGAAAUGGGACAGAGCGAAGUGAUCCAGCUAAUACCUCUCUCGGAGGAUCUUCAGUUAUCGAUUCAGCCAAAAGGGUGCUCGAAAUCUUCUGCCCUGGAACCGUAUCUUGUGCUGAUAUUAUUGCUUUGGCUGCAAGAGAUGCAGUUGCAAUUGUAAAAUUUCCCAUCCUCGUCUUCAUUUUACGUCUUUAAGUUAAUGUUCCCUUCCCUUUUUUUUCAUCACCAUAUCUGCACUUCGGUUGUGGUAUUAACCAUAGUAACCAUGGAGCAGGCGGGCGGACCUGCAUUUCAAAUUCCAACAGGGAGAAAAGAUGGGAGGAUAUCCAACUCUGUUAACGUCAGGCCCAAUAUAGUAGAUACUAGCUUUACCAUGGAUGAAAUGAUAAAGCUCUUCAAUUCUAAAGGCUUGUCUCUAGAUGAUCUUGUUACACUAUCAGGUACUUAAAUACAUAAAAGCAAAUCAUACAUCCUUUACUAAAAUCAUAAAUGCAGAAUAAAGUAAUAGUAAUAGUAUACAUGGUAGUUUAUAUGGCUGGUUUCAGCUGGAUUCAGGCUUUGAUGGCUUCAUAAUUUGGCCUUACAGGUGCUCAUACAAUAGGCCUAGCUCAUUGUAGUGCUUUCAGUGAUCGGUUCCAAUAGGACUCCAAGGGAAAGCUCAGGCUGGUUGACACAUCCCUAGACAUUACCUACGCAAAAGAGCUCAGCAAAAAGUGUCCAGCAGGUGGAAGUAGCACAUCCAACACCGUCAGCAACGAUCCCGAGACAUCCUUUGCAUUCGACAAUCAGUAUUAUGGGAACCUAUUAGCCCACAAAGGGUUGUUUCAGUCAGAUUCUGUUCUACUAGAGGAUGGAAGAACUAGGAAACAAGUAGAGGAGUUUGCAAAUAAUGAAGAAAGGUUUUUCCGGAGUUGGGGAGAGUCAUUCUUGAAGCUCACUACCAUUGAAGUGAAGACAGAUAAUGAAGGGGAAAUCCGACAGUCUUGCUCCUUUACUAAUUAAUGGCUUCUUUGUCUCACAGUUCAAACUCAAAUAAUGGCUCUUAAUAUGUUAACAAAUGCCUGUAAUAAUAUCUUUAUUCAUGUGUUGGUGUUCAUGUAGCGUCACAUUAACUUGGUUAUUUUGAUGUUGUUAUGGUAUUUAAACUUGUAUAUUUUGAUCUCUAGGCCCAAGAGGCCUAGGUAAAGCUUAAAGCCCAUAACUAUUUGUUUAUUUUUUUUAUCUUAUUCAUAACUCUAAACUUGAGAACUUUUUCAACUUAAUCCUUAUGCUUUUUCUUUCCACGUUAGUCUCAAAUUUGGCAAGUGUUUUUAGUUUUGGUUCACUUCAUCAUGGGCUGGCAAAAAAGUGAGAGAAUUUGGGUAAAAAAUAUAAACUUAAAAAAAUAGAUUUAGGCAAAAAAAAAUAAGACACAUUUUUUAAAUUGGUUGAGUCUUAGGUAAAUUUUUUAGCCAGAAUUAAAAAAAAAAAAACUUGCUACUGUUCUCACUGUUUUGGUGUUGUUUUAUUGUUAAUUUUGCUAUUAUUUUAGAGGCAUUUGCUUGCUAAGUUGCACUUAUCUUAGUGUCAUUUAAGCAUAAAUAUUAAAUACUUUUUGUUUAUUUUUUGAAUAAUCUCAUUACAGGUUUUAGUCAUAUUUGCUCUUUUUGACACAAUAUCUAAAACUACCCAUAGCCCCUCCCCAAACCAUAAAUAAAAUAAUUGUACCCUUCAGGCAACAUUUGAACUCAUGUCUUCCUGCAUUGGCAAUAAUACUCAUGCCAGUUGAGUUAAAACGCAAUCAAUGAAAUAUUAAUUUUAAAUAUAUUUAAGUAAAUAAUAUAAAUUAUUUGUCAAUUUUAAUUUUAAUAUAUAUAAAUUAUAUUUUUAUAUUAAAAUCACACAUAACUAUAACUCUUAUAAAUUACAAAUAAACAUGAUUGAUUUAAAUGUAUAUCAUGAUGUUGUGUUAUUAUUUUGGUCUUAACAAAUAUUAAACUAAAGUUGUAAAAAAUAAAAUGGUAACACACUGCUAAUAUUUUAAUAUAUAAAAUGUAAAUUUUAAAUAUUUUUAAAUGAUUAAUAUAAUUGUUUAUAAAAUUUAAUUUAACUACAUAAAAUAUAUGUUUUUAAUUAAUAAUUAAUAUAUUUGAAGGACUAAUUUAUAAUUUAGCAAUCAAGCUAACUUUUGAAAAGUUAAAAAAACUAGACUUUUCAACUACCAUUACUUUGCUGAUAAAAAAAAAAAAACUAAUUUUGUCUAAUAAACUGAUUUGAGAAGCAAUAGUAAACAAGGCUGACCGUGUUGACUGAACCCCAAGAUUCCACCGAUAUUAAUUGGCAUGACUUAUAAAGUAAAUUCUACUAAAUGUCCCUAAAUCAUGAUUCACAUUUUAAAUUAGUCCUUAAAUUUUAAAAUAUUUUAAUUACAUCUUAAAUUAUCAAGAUUAUUAUAAUUAAGUUCUUCCGUUAUUAAAACAGUUUAUUUCAUCAUUAAGUGACACAUCAUAUUAUGGCAUAAUUUACAAUUAAAAAUUAAGGAUAAAUUCAACCUUAAUUUAAAAAAAAGUUAAAAGUAGAAACAGAAACAAAUUGGCAAAAUGUUGCUGAAUAAACUCAAAAAAAAAAAAAAUUCAAAAUCAAAAUCAAAGUAAAACUAUAAAUUGUAAAAAAAGUCAAAUCUUAUUUUGGUUUUGAUUUUUACUUUCUAAGUUUAGUUUAUGAGGCAAAGUUUUGAGGUUUCAUUUAUUUUGAUUUUUCACAACUUCUUUUUAAAAAUUUUAAGGUUUUUUUUAAUUUUUUAAUUUUAAAUUAUACUAUAUAAGAUAUGAUGUAUCAUUUAAAAAUAAAAUUAACAAUUUUAAUAACAAAAAGACCUGAUUGAUAUAAUAUUAAUAAUUUAGAAAUAUAAGUAAAAGAUUUAAAAAAUUGAAAAUCGAUUUAAAAUCUAAGUCAUAAUUUGAACAAGUUUUGUACAAUUUACUCUAACUUGUCCUAUAGGCCUAAAAGUGUUCAUGAGCUUGUCCGAGCAGUGAGACCUAGAUCAAAAAAUAUUUAACAUAUUUAAUAUAAAAAAAAUACUUAAAAUGAAUGAUAUUUUGUAAGUAAUAGUACAAUAUUAAAAAAUAUUUAGAAUCAUAAUUUCACUUUUCAAUCCUUCUUUGUUUAGAUCAUUAGAAAACCGAUAUAAAUAAAUUAGUUAUAUUAUAGAUGCACAAAAUAAUAAUAUUUUUUCGGUUACAAAAUAAAUGUUGUAUAUCUAUUUUUUUUGCAAUAACACUUUAUUGUAGAUCACAUUUUUUGUGUAUGUUUCUUUUUUCGUGCUUUUCUUGUUUGACUUGACUAAAUUUUUUUAUGAAGGCAUUGAAACACCUUUAGAUAAUGCAACAUAUAGUUGUCCAUUAGAGAAAAUAUGAGAAAAUAUUUUGUGGUGAAUACACUCUUACUGUUGAUAUUAUUUGAUCUUGUGCUUGGUAAUAUUCUCGUCAAUUAUUAUAUGAAAUUAUGAUUAUAUUUAAAUGUUAAUUUAGCAAUAUGAUAAAAAAAAUGAUAUACUCGUCAAUUCAAAAGAAAAAAUUCAAACUCAAAUUUUUAUAUAUAUUAUUGUAAUAACCUGAAAUUCACGGGCACCGGAAAAGUGAGUUAUAGGGCCUCCGUCUUAGUGAAAUAAGUUCAAAAAUAAUUAUUAAAAAUAUUUAUGAGCCUAGUGGUGUGUCUAAUUAGGAUCUAAUUAAGUGAAUUUAGCUUAAUUUAGAGUAAGUAAUAAAAAGAAUUAAAUUGAAUAAAGGGUAAAAGUUUAAUUGUAAAGCAAUAGAAAAUAACAAGGAUUAAAAUGGCAAUUAAGCCAUUGACUACAAAUGAGGCGGCAUAUUGGUGAAAUAAAAUCAAAGAUUUUUUUUUAGGUUUUAUAUAUUAUAAUGAUUAUUAUUAUGGUUUUAUAUUAAAUUAUUAUAAUUAUUAAUUAACAUUAUGGUUUUAUAUUAGAUUAUUAUUAUUAGCAUUAUUAUUAAAUAAAUUAAAUAGAAGACAAUUGUAUGGUAAUAAAAUAUACAUGUGUAAGAAUUGUAUUGGUAAAUUGUAAUUUAAAUAUUUAAUUACUUAUAAUUUAAGUAUAAAUAUAUUUUAUAAUUAUUAAUUAUAUUAAUUAAAUCAGGAGAUUUUUAUUUGAUAAGCAAAUUAGAUAAUGACAUUUGUAAUAAUAUAAAUAUGUACACUUGUUAUAUAAUUAUUAAUUUACUUAAUAUUAAAGUAAAAGAUAUUUUAAUAUAUGAUAUUAAUAUUAUAUUAUGUUAAUAAAAUAAUAAAGCAUAAAAAGAAACAAAACAAAAGAAACAGAAACGAAGCAGGGAACAAAACGAAAACAGGGGAAGAAAAAGGGAAAGAAAAUAAAAAGGGAAAUUUGGAUUUUAAAGCUUCAAGUUUAAUUGCCAACAAAGAACCUGAAAUGUCAGCAUCGAAAGGAAAGGAGAAAGUCAUCGAGGACUAAAACGGGAGAAUUACGGUUAGUAGAAGUCAAGUGUCCCAGCUCAGCAUCCAGAACAAUCCCGACUCCAACAGAAAUUGGGUGAUGUAUGCUUUCUUUUGGGCAAAGGUGGCAUGUACAUAGGUGUUGUUUAGUCACUUAAAUAUGUAUAUUACUUUGAGUAGUGAAGGAUGAAUUAUAAGAUAUAGAUGGUUAAAUGAAAUGGCAAGGAAAGUACAUGAUAUUUUGAUACAUGAAUAUUAAGUUGUUAAAUGAAUGAAGUUUUUAAUCAAUUUGAAUGAUGCUAUGAUAGUUAUUAAGUUAAAAUUUUGUUAAUGAUAUAAAUAUUAGUUAUAUGAAUGUGAAACAUUGGUGUUGGUGAUUUUGGUUUGAAUUUGCAGGAGGUUUAGGUAAAAAUAAGCAGAAAUGCUGCCGAAAUUUUUUAUAAAAAAAAAUUCGGAAUACUCGAACAAGUCUCGUUCUACUUUUAAUACGUGUUUGAACUUCGAGAGUCCAAGAUAGGGACUUAAUUAUUAUAUUAUACUAUGAAAGUUAUAUUAAUUGUAAAUUAUUCGUAAGUUGUCUGAUAUGUCCGAUAAUGCCUCAUAACCUCAUUCCGGCGACGGUUUGGGGUUAGGGGGUGUUAUAAUUAUAGAUAUAGAUAAUCACAAAAUCAACUUUAAUUUAAAAGGAACAAAGUUGCUUGAUACCUAAUAAUUUAUUAAUGGAAAUAAUUAAAUCGGCAUUAAUUUUAUUUUAUUUACUCACUUUUUAAUUUUUCAUAUAUAAGAACUAAAUUAUUCCAUGAAAGAAAGUAAAUUGCUUACGUCCUUGUAAUCUAAUUACCUCUUAUGUGUUUAUUUUGAUUAGAGUUAAUUGCAUCAAACAUUUUAAAUUAUAAUAUUUUUAUUCUAAAUCAUUUUUAAAAUUUUUAAAUGUUUUAAUUAUAUCUUUAAACUAUCGAUGUUAUAUUAAUUAGGUCCUUUCAUUAUUAAAAAUUAUACAUAAAAUUCUAUGUGACACAAUUUAGAACAAAAAUUUAAAAAUAAAAUAAAAUAUUUCGAAAAGAAGGUGUGCAUGUGAACAAUUGUUUUUUUAAAAAGUUUUGAAAAUCUGAAAAUCAAGAUUUUUUUACAUUAUCUAUUUUUAUAAUAUCCAUUUUUCUUUAAAAUUUUUAUUUUAUGUUAUGUUAUAUAAAAUCUUAUAUAUUAUUUAAUAGUUAAAUUAAUAGUUUUAGUAAUAAAAAGAUGUUAUUAAUAUAAAAUUAAUAAUUUGAGAAUAAAGAGGAAUUGAAAAUAAUAAUACUAUUAUUUUAAACUUUUGGAGACCUAGCGUAGACUCCUCAAGUCAAUUGUUUAAUAGGUGCGAACGUUACACACUGAAUUUCCAUUGACAACUGGCAUGCGUGUAUGUCAAAAAUUCCCUCUAAUAAUAAUGGAUUAUUAACAAAUCGACGGAGGACCCAUUCAACAUUUUACUCUUUAUUUUUGCAAAAGUUCAAUAUAUUAAAGAUUUUAUUAGAAAUUCGGUGAUAAUUAUCUUUUUUUUUUGUCAAAUAUAUCAAUUGUUGAAAUUAACAUUUAUGAAAUAAAAUUCAAAAUUUUAAUUAUAACAUUUUCUAAUAAUUAUCAAGAAAAGUUAAAUUAUUAUUAGGUUUUUUAACACCAAAAAAUACAUAUAUACAAAAAUUAAAAUAUGCACCCAAAAAAAUUGAUACAUUUAAUAUAUGAUUAAAUUUAAUAUUAAUUUUUUUAAUAGUUUUUACUUAAAAUACAUUUUAAUUUUGUUUAGAUUUUAGAACUUUUUAAUUUUUAAACUUCAACCAAGGAUGACUGUAUUUAUAGCAACUAAAUUGCUUUUGAAUUUAACAAUUUUUCAUAAAAAUUAAAGUAAUUAUCAAUUAUCUUUUUUACUCACAUUUAAAACUAAAAAAAAAAACUAAAUUACUCUAUUUAUUUCGAGACAACUUUAUAAUCUAAAUAAUUAUUUUAAGUAUUUAAUAAAAUAUUAAUAUUGUUUAAAAUUGAUUGAAUUGAUCAAUUGAUCAGAAUUAAUUGAGUAUUAAUCUGAUUAGAUGAAUUAAAUCAAUUAUUUGAGGAAUCGGUUAAACCAGUGAUUAAACUCUCUCUUUUUCUAUGAUAUUUUUAAAUCGGACAUUAAAUUAACUGUAGACUCCAAAAAUCAAUUAUUUGUUAGGUGCGCAUGUUGCGGCCAUUGGCAUUCGGCAUACGUUAGUGACUUUAUGUCAAAAUUUGCACUAAUACUAAAUUCUACCCCUAUUUAUUUUCUAAAUAAUAAUGGAUGGCAACCAACGUAUAGAUAAUGUCAUGUUAGGUAGGACCCAACGUGGAAACUCUCAAAGAAGAGAAAUUGCUUAAAAUUGUAUUUUUUCCGCUUUCAUGCCUCCCUUCCACUCUUGUGAUUUUAGCCUUAAUUUGGCGAUCGCUAUUGUUAUAUACCUUCACUUUUUCCAUAGUAUUUGGCUAAAUCAACCACUUUGGAUGAUUUAAUCAAGUCAACCCUUGUACAAAGACUAUAUCUCGUCUUACAUGACUAUCAACAAUUGUUUCCGUACACCCUCCCAAUUAUAUUAAAACUCUAUAUAAUUCUUACAUGCAUAUGUUGAAUGUGAUUCAUCAAAUCUCUUACUCAUUCGAACAAUUAACUUUACAUCAACAAUAUAUAAAUACUCUUUAAUUAGCUUAAAAAUGUAAAAUAAAUAAUUAAAUAAAGAAAAUAAAUGCUCCGUAAAAAUGAAAAAGUGUUGUUAAAAUGAUGAGAAAGCCGAAUUAAUAAAUUUGGUAUCAAAAUUAGUACAUAUUUAUUAACAAAUUUGAUAUAUUAUACCAGUUAGGGGAGAAUUCAAAUUUGAAUUUUGGAGAUCACGGUAUUACGAGAGUCAAUCACAAUUCUAAAAGAAUUAGUUUUUUUAGUCAAAAAAUAUAUUUAAGGGAUUAUAAAACGGAUAUAAGCUACCUUGAUUUUAAAAAGAAAUAUUAUUUUUUGAAAGAAACAUUAUUCUUUAUUAAAUAACAUGUAAUUUAGUCUAUUUGAUAUUAAAUAAUUUAUUUUAAAUAAAAAUAAAAAUACAAUUGUAAUUUCAUAAUACUUAAAUCAAUUUAAAAGUAAACAGUUUUAUGAUUUUGUAGUUAGAAGUGUAAUUGCAUUUAUAAAUAAGCAAUACAUUAGAAAGUUACUUUUCAACCUUUAUUCAAAUGAAGUACAUUAUAAUAUUUGAGGAUCAGUAAUUUCAGAUGGAAAUUUGAUAUUUCUUAAUAUAUUCUCAUAAAUUAAAAUUUGAAAAAUUAUAUAAUAGUGAAAUUUAAAAUUUGUGAUUUUAGGAUAUAAUAAAACAUUAAAUAUUUAAUAAUAAAAUACUUGAGAAAUUUUUUAAAAAACCUUUACAUUUUUAGAAAGUAAUUACUUUCGGUGGAAAUUACGGGCAGCUUGCAUCCUCUAUUAGUAUAUGAACUGGCUAUUGACUUUUGAUUUUAGUCAAUUUACCCCUCCAAUAACGUUUUGUUCAAUAUUAACGAGGCUCUGUCCUAUAAUCUAAAUUUAGAAAUUCUUGAUUGAUUGUGGUGUUAUAAAUUAAUUAAUGAAUCGAUGUUAUAAUUCAAUUGAAAAAAUAUUAAAAAUUAUAAAUUUGGUCAAAUUGUUAUCAUGAUAAGAGUUUUAAGUCGUAAGUAUGAGCGUUCAAGUUCAAUCUCAAACAACCUUUACUUUGAAUUAUAAAAAAAAAAUUAAGAUAAUACUAAAAAGUGACAUUUUAAUUAUUCAAUAAAAAAUAUGCCACUUCAAUUUUUUUUAAAAAGAACUUCUAAUAAAUAUCAUAUAUUUUCUAACAUUAGAUCAAUUCUCCUCAAUAAUAUCCUAACCUUAGUUAGUGUUGAUUAAUUAAAUAAAAAGGAAAAUAUUUGAUACGCUAUCAGUGAAGUUUUUAGAUUCCACAAGCAGAGUAAUAUCUUAUAAGGGGUGUAAUAAAAUACUAAAACAAUAAAUAUUUUUUUAGAAAAAAGAUACACAUGUCAAUUUUUUAAAGUUUAGUGUGGAAUAAAAAAAUAUAUACUGUCAGUGGCAUCAAAUACUCGCCCUAAAUAAAAUUAAUUUAAAAAAUUAAAUAAAAUUAGCAAACAAUAAUAGUAAUGCAAGGUUUAUGGUUUUUUGUUUAACUAUAUUUAUGAUUUAUGGUAUAUUGGAUUAGAAUUUAGAAUUUAAGAUUUAAGAUUUUAAAGAAAAGAUUAUUAUUUUAAGAUUUUAGAUUUUGGGGUGUGAUGUUUAAGGUUUUAAAAUUAUAUAAAAAAAUAUUUCAAUUUUAUUAACUUUAGAGUUAAAAUAGUAAUAAUAAUUAAUUUGAUGUUUUUGAAUGUAUUAUAUUAUUCAUGAACUCUAAAAGAAAUAUGAUGUGGCAUGACAUAAUUGGAUGUCUAAAAAGUCACUUUUGGAAUCAUUCUAAUCUAUGUUAAACUUUUUUUUUUUAAUAAAGUUAGUCAUAUUAUUAUAAUAAACGUUUUUGUCUUAUUUUUACAGAUAGAUCAUGGAACAUGAACUUCACACAUUGUAGUUUUUAAAUGUUAAAAGUUUAUCAUUAUAACCAAACCUUUUGUUAUAUAAAAUUUUAAUAAAUAUAUAUUAUAUUUUUUCAUUCCCGUCACGUGUAUACUAAUUUAAAGUAAUUGAUUUUUUUGAAUAAUUAAAAAUAUGUUCAGAAAAACAUAUUAUAUAAAAUAAUAAAAAAUAAAUAUAAAUAAUUAUAUUAUUAAUAAUUAAUAAAUACAUAAAAAAUAAUGUUACUUUUAUGAAUAUUAUUAAUUAUAUGUUAAUCAAACUAUAGCUAGUUAUAAAAUAUUUAUUAAACGAAGUUUAAGUAAAUACAAAAAACUUGUCGAUGAAAAUAGAUAAAUGAAAUCUUUUUGUUUAAUUCAAUUAUUAAACAAACCUCAAAAUUUUAACCUUUUAUUAAUUUACAACCCAAAAAAUUACAAACUAAAAUUACACUAUGAUGGCCCAAAAAGGGGUUUCAUAAGCUAACUAUAUUGCUUUUAGGUUGCAACUUCAUUAAAUUGUAGAGAAAUAUUAGGAAAGAAACUUCACAUGGUAUGUAUGUGUGUAUAUAUAUAAUGGAGUGUGGUUGGUAGAUGAGAAAUUAAGCUGGACCAUGGGUACCACUAUCAUUUCCCCGACUUUCCUCUCUGCGUAUCUUCUUCUUUUAUGCCUUGUCUGCUGUUUGAAGGAGGGGUAUGGCUUGGGACGGAGAGCAACUGCAGAGAGCCAACACCUUGAGCACAGCCAUACAAUCCAAGUCACUUCUCUUCUGCCCUCCUCUAUUUGCAGCCCCGCAACCAAAGGUUAAUUACCUCAACUCUCUCCCACACUAACCGACCACUCAAUUACUUUAGGUUUUUACAGCAAAAUCACUCGUUAACAUUAUGCUAUUGUUGAGUCCCCUGUGCUGGCUGGCUAGCAUCAUGUCAGCGGGAUUGUCUUUCUUGAUUGUACUCGUACAUGGAAGGACUCCAUGCAAAGCGAAAGAAGUACAGCCCAUUAAACUCCACAUUUACCUUCUACCCACUCCUCUAACACCGUCUUUUGCCAAUCCCUAAGAAACUUUAGCAUAAUUGUCUGCGUUCUGAGACAAUAUUAUUACUUACUUUUUUUUUUCUUUGACGAUGAAUGUUCCCUUUAUUAUUAAAAUACUUUUAUUUCCUGCUAAAAGAAAGAAAAUAAAGGAAAGUUAAUUAUCCUCAAAAGUACGUACGUAGUUCUGAACUUGAAAUCGUAGUCCUUGGGGGCAGCGGGUAGGUUAUGCUUUUAAUUUUAAACCUAUCCUGGUAUUAUUUGGUCAUGAACACUAUAAAAAGAAGUUAAAAAAUAAGAAAAUAUUUUGUCCUGAAACAUAACUCUGACAGCACAAUGAAAAGGAGUUUGGUCGUUGACAAAUAAUAGUGCAUUUCUCCUUGUCACUCACACCUCAUUGGCUAAGGUAAUGCGUAUGAAUAUGGUGAUUGAAAUUGAUUUUUUUAUUGAGGUAGUCUUUCAUAUUUCAAAAUUUUAGUUUUUAAAUUAAUGAUUUUUAUUUUUUUUAGAAUUAAAAUAUUUUAAAUUCAAGAUUUAAAUUUAGAUUUAGAUUUCAUAAAAAAAUAUUUUUUAAAUUUAAUUAUUUAGGAUGAUUUUGAAUAUUAUUGUUUGAAUUGGACUGGACCGGCCAGUUGGAUCAGGAACCAACUACGGUACACGUAAGGAAAAAGGCAUUAGACUAAUUGAUUCAGGAAUUGAUAUGGAACAAUUGAUUGGGCUAUUGAAUAGAUUGGACCAAUUUUUUUUAUGAAUUUUUUAAUGAUUUAUUUAAUAAAAUAGGAUGGAGUGGUAAAAUCGUUCGAAUCAGUCAAAUAGACCAAACCAGUUGAAUUGACCAAAUCGAUAAAACUAGUGGCCUAAUUAUGGAUAUUAUAAAUUGAAAGUCAAGGGUUUAUAAGUUAAAAUAGCGAGAAUUAUGGUAUAAAUGUUUUUUUAAUAUUUUUAUUGUAUUUAAUUAAAUGCAUCAAGCUUCGUCAUUGUUUUUAGAAUCGAAUUGGUCGGUCAGAUUGAUUGGGUUGAGAAUCGAUUGGGGUACUAGUAUGGAAUAAGGGGUUAGAUUGGUGGGCUCAUGAACUUGCUGAACCAAUCGGACUGGCCGAACUAAUGGUCGAACUAGUUUUAUCUAUUUAUAUAUUUUUUUAUUUUUAAUAAUUUGUUCAAUUGAACUGAUUGUAUCGAUCGAACUGAUUGAAUCAAGAACUGGUAGUUUGACUGAUUCCCCUAUCAAUCCAAUUUUGAAAAUCUUGAACUUCGUUGAUGAUAUAUUAUAAGUAAAAUUAAUUAAUUAUUGUUUGGGUUUUGAAGUGCGAAAGAAAAGAGAAAAAAAGCAGUUCCCAUGUUUUUAAAUCAAUUUUUAAUUUUGAAAAUUUCAAGUUUUAAAUGGAUUUUAGAAUCUAAAAUUUAAUUGUCAUGAAAUUAGACUUGGAUUUGUCCAAUUUCAAAUCCAACUUUUUAUAUAUUAUCCAAGAAUUUGAAUUUUGAAAUCCAAAGUCUAAUUUUUUUAUUCAAAUAAUGGUUUCCAAACAAAAUAAUCUAAAAAUAUUAAUUUUUUAAAAAAUAUAAUUUUGCUUUGAAAAUUACUUUCCUUAGCAUAUGAAAAUUUAUUUACUUUGAAUAAUAUUGGGAAAAUAAUUUCUGAUAUAAUUAAAAAGUUAAAAUUUACGAACAAAAUUUUUUAAUUACGAAAUCAUAGAAAUGUUCUAAUUUUAUCAAAUUAAAUUUUGAUUUAAAUGUCAAUUAAUUUCUAAUUAUACCAAGUAAUUAAUAAAAAGAGAAAUACUUUUUCCUAAAAAAAAAGUAUCCAUCUUUUUUGGUUUCUACCAAGCACAUUAAUAAACAACAUUUUUUACUACUCUACUCCUUUAAUUGCUUUUAAUUAAAUAAUAUUUUUCAACCUCCAAUCAUCUUAAAUCUCAGAAUUCUAUGUUUAAGGAUUUCCUGACUUUCUCAAUUGUGGUUAAGACAUUUUUCAAUCUUUAGCCAAGGGCAGUCACUUGAAUAAACAUAAUAUCUAUAAUAAUACCAAUUUAUAGUAAAGAAUCGAUGAAUCAACUUGGCAAGGACGUGAAACGAUGUUAAUCCAAUUGUUCCAUCAUCAGAAAUUGAGUUAAUUUGUAGAUUAAUUGUACAAUAUUGUUCUUUCAUUACUAAAACAUUCUGGUAUUGGAAUGCAUAUGUGAUGCACGGCUUCCACUUUCAGAAUUGAAUAAAAAGUCAUCUUUACGAGUUGUCCACAAGCAUGGUCCAUGCUCCCAACUCCAUCGUCAAGAUAAAGCAAACAUCCCCACUGACGCCGAGAUCCUUCGACAAGAUGAAUCCCGGGUCAAGUCCAUUCACUUGAAACUUGCCAGGAGCUCAGGCUCGAGCAAUGUCGACCAGAUUGAUGCAACCAACCUCCCUGCCAAGGAUGGUAGCGUGGUGGGGUCAGGCAAUUACGUAGUUACCGUGGGUCUAGGCACCCCGAAGAAAGAUUUAACUCUCAUAUUUGAUACUGGAAGUGACAUCACAUGGACACAAUGUCAGCCUUGCGCAGGAAGUUGUUAUCAACAGCUGGAUCCAGUGUUUGCUCCUUCCCAAUCCUCAACAUAUUCCAACAUUUCAUGCAACUCAACAACCUGCACUUCACUGACUUCUGCAACAGGUAACUUUCAUGACAAACUUGCCGAGAUAAAUUUUCAUGUAAGAGAAAAGGGAAACGAAAGUUUUAUGAGUAUGAAUGGGACUGCGGCUACUCGGGUGAGAAAAAUUGUUGAUUCGUUGUUAUUAAUUAUUAUAUUAUAUGCUUUCAGGUGUUAAACCUAGAUGUUCAUCGUCUGCUUGUGUCUAUGGCAUUCAAUACGGAGACAUGUCUUUCUCAAUUGGAUUCUUUGCUAAAGAAACGCUCACCUUGACAUCAUCUGAUGUAUUCAAGGACUUUCUAUUUGGCUGUGGCCAAAACAAUCAAGGUCUUUUCGGACGAGCUGCUGGUUUGAUAGGACUUGGACGAGAUAAAUUAUCUCUACCUUCACAAACAGCCUUAAAAUACAAGGGAGUCUUCUCCUAUUGCUUGCCGUCAUCUGCCAGCUCAACUGGUUUCCUCAGUUUUGGCGACACUGGUACCUCAAAAUCCGUAAAAUUCAUAACAUUGUCCACAGUCUCCCAACGUUCAGCCUUUUACGGAAUUGACAUUACUGGAAUAAGUGUUGGUGGACAAAAACUAUCAAUUGCAGCCUCUGUUUUCACUGCUGGUGGUGCCAUCAUUGACUCUGGAACUGUCAUCACCCGGCUACCGCCCACAGCCUACGUGGCACUGAGCUCAGAAUUUAAGAAACAGAUGAGCCAAUAUCCAAUGGCACCAGCUUCAAAGCUGCUGGACACAUGCUAUAACUUUACCAAGUAUUCUUCAGUUAACGCACCUAAGAUUAGCUUCUUCUUCAGCGGCGGUGUUGAGGUGCCUAUUGCAGCUGAGGGAAUAUUUUUCGCUACAAGUAUCUCACAAGUGUGCCUAGCGUUUGCCCGCAACAAUAAUGACACAGAUAUAGGGAUCUUUGGGAAUACACAGCAAAAGACAUUGCAAGUGGUAUACGAUGUUGCUGGUGGGAGGCUUGGGUUCGCUACAGGGGGAUGCACCUAAGUUUUCAAAGCUAAUUGAGAAGAAAAUCUUCGAGUUAGCUGUCGAAUCAUAAGUCAUAUAAUAUAAUAGUAAGUUUGGCUUAAGAUUGAAAUAAACGAUGCACUAGUAAAACUUAUCAGUACUCUACUCCCUAGGUGGAUACCUGUCUGCGUUGUUUACCCAUCUAUCAUUCAGGAAAAUAAAUUGUUCGCUGCAAAAUUAUGUUCAAUGAUGUAUGAUUUUGUAUGGCAAUGUUAAACCUCCAAAUCUUAAAGUAUGAAUCUCUUGAAUGAAUAUAUAUAUAUAUCUGGCGCAAGUUUAAGAGUUAAGGAAUAAAAGCUUCAGUUUCAGCAGGUUCUAGGAUAAUAACUCGAAAAGGGGCAAGCCCAAGAUCCCUAUUUGAGUACAAGAGCAGUCCGCAUUUUAUCCUGGAUCAUUGCUUGUUUUCCCUCCCUCGAUCUUAUACUUUCAAUCCUUGGUUUGUCCAAGCACAGCCCUAAUACGUAAUCCUAGUCUUUCUUGAAAAUAUGUGUGUAUACACACACAUCGUCUCCCCCGUUGACUUUUGACGUUCACGUUAGGUGGUUACUGUUCCAAUUACCAACAUAUUUUAUUGCUAGUGUAUCAGCCAUUAAUUAAGUCAGCCAAAUUUCCAUUGAUGUUAUCGUCUCUCUCCAAUGGCUGCUUGAUUCAUGGCCCACGGUCACUCAAGUAAUAUUGUACACAUGAAAUUAUAUGAAUCUAAUCCCAAUUUUACCACCUAUUUUUAAUUAAAUAUGCGAGAUUCAUUGAAAGAGAGUGCAAAGCUGUGGAUCUGAUCAAAGCCCAUUGCAAGAGAAACUAUGGAUGGCUUGGGCUCAGCUGAUCAAGGGGCCCAGGAAAGCCAUCAAGGUUCAAAAACAGAAAACUCCAAAAUGAAAACCAUACGGUUCCAAAACAAAGCAUAAUCAAAAGAGAACCAAGGGACGGAGCAGGGCAGAAAAUGCAGCAGCAGAAAACCGUGCAUUCCAUCUAAAUGGGAAACUUUGCAUACAUACGAGAAACUUAACUUUGCCAAUGCCUAUUGUGAUUGUACUAAACUUUGACUGCAUUCCUAAUUGUCUGCUAAUUCCCUCGUCCUCGUCUUGCUGAGUCUCUGCUCUUCGUGCAAGACUACAUAUGCGUUCCAAGGGACAAAUAUUAGUUUGGAUGGCAAGUAUUUUCACUAUAUUCUUCACGUUAAUUCUCUAUUAGCAUCAGCCGCUUGCCACUCAUUUAUCCAAGGUUAUAUUAAUUUAGUAAUAAACUCCUUAAUCAUACGCAGAUUUUGCUUUUACUAAUGUCUUUACCUUCUAUAUAUUUUGUUACUGAACCUUAUCCAUUAUAUGCAUCUUAAUUGAACAAACAAGUGUACACAUCCCCUUUUAUAUGUUAACCGCUGGGAAGGUGGUGAGGAAGUGCCGAUGAAUCUGCAAUGGAAGGAAGCUGUUGUGUUGGGCUUGGCUUGUUUUCGUGUGAUUCUUUGUUCUGCAAUUGUGGAACACUCAUUUCUUCUCGAUUUUUUGUACCGACUGCUGCAGUCUUGUAUUUUCAUUAGCUAGUGUCCCGCUAAGGAACAAGCAAGGGAAAACGUGUUCUAGUUCAGCUUAGUUAUUGCUACUAAGAUUUGUUACUCCACGGAGAAAAGUGGUACAGACAAAUUAAUUGGCUUUGGCUUCUUGGCAAUGAUCCACUUCCAUAUCCAAAAGACUAAAAUAGAUUAUAGCGUGGAGAUUUCCUCAUUUCUGACUCUCUCUAGUGCCAAUCGCUGGUUUCACUAUGAUAUAAAUGACUACAUAAUUGAGGAAAUUAAAUAUUUAAAAAGGUCAGCUGCUUUUGAAGAUUCUGGGAUGAAUCGAUUUUCAAGGAAAUAUAAAUUUGAAUAAUAGAAGCUUUCUUGAUAAGAAUGUGCUCAGGCCUGAGGCACCACUACCUGUUUGUUUUGUUUGAAGUCUGAAAAGUAAAAAGUAAAAUGCAUGCUCCUUAUCCUUUGAAUUAGUAGCCUACCAUCCAUUUCUAUAAUUCUAUUCUAUUCUAUCCAAUCCCCACUAGCAUCGAUGGAUGAUUUUUAUACUUAAAUCAAAUAUUUGCACCACAAAUUAAAAUAUGAUAUAUUUAUGAGAUAAAAUCUUGCAAAUCUAUUAGUCUUUAAAUUAAGAUAGAUUAAAUUUACCACUUAAUUAAAUAAGCUUUAAUGUCUAUGAAUGUUCUAAUCCCGUGACACUAGAACCUUAUACAUCAAUAGUUAUUGUCUACAAAUAUUUCAAAAUCUACUUAUGAGAGGUAAUAAUUACGGCUAUAUUCCCAACAGCUUUUAUACUAUGAGCAUUAGCUACUUUAUUUACCUUAUCUAGGUGGUAACUAAUAGUCAAAUUAGAAUUCUUUAAUAAACCUUAUCUAGGUGGUAACUAAUAGUCAAAUUAGAAUUCUUACUUCUUACCAUUUUCAUGGUAUCGUAUUCAACUUUUGAUAAAGAAAUAGAUAUUUUAAUUUAUUGUGAUAUAUAAAAUAUCGAAAAUUAAUUACGAAGUUUUAAAAAUAAAAACAUCGAAAAUAAUGCACAAAUUUUAUGGGUUAAUAAUUUUGAAUAUUCUAAUUUACGAUCCCAUUUCUUAAUAUCAUGUAAUUUCUAAAUAAUAUAACCAUACCAUAUAAAACAACAUACUACAUUUAUUUUGAAUUAAACUCCAACCCUUGAAACAAUAUUUGACCACAUUUAAACGUAACUUGGAAUAUAAAUUUCAAGCUCUUACUGUUUUCUUCAUCUUACCCUUCAUCAAAGUUAUACUGUUUGCAUAAAUUUUGUCCCUAUAGCUGGAAUGCAAAGAGUAUGUGGAGGAGUAGAAGCAAAUGGUGUGCACCAAACUCAGUUUUCUUUUUCAUUAAUAACUGCAAGUAUUUGCCAAUUCAGAGCAUGCAAUUUUGUACACUUUAAUUCAUUAAUUGCAUAGCCAAUCCAUACAAGUUAAAUUGUCUAUGACGCAAUAAUUUGAUUGUUUGUUGCAAAAAUAAUUAACGAAUUGAACCCUCACCUAAUUCCGUUCCAUUUCCUUUUCCUUGUAACAUAAUCAAGUGGGAACCUUGCAAGAUGAUAAGAUGGUAGCCCAUCAAGCUCUCACUUACAAUGGGGACACAAGAAAAGAUUCCAGCUUCCAAUUUCAAUCACCACCCAAUAGAAAAAAUAAUGCUUGGUUGGGUUACAGCCAAACGGGAUUCCACUCCAUCGCUUACAAAAGUUCAAAGAUUCCACCUAUAUUAAUUCCCACUAGCAAUGCUUAUACUGACCAAAACUAGUUUCCGAACAUGUAUAAUUGAGGACUGGACCCUACUGCUUCAUGUCUUUCUAGGCAACACUGACAAGGAUGUCCAAUAACUUUGAAGAUUCAUGGAAUUUCCAAGCUACUUCAACUAAUUGGUAUAUUGGGUUCCUCUUCUUUUCACCAACAUUCUUCAACUAGAAUUUUUAUUAACUUAUGUAUUAGGUACUGAAGCUUCUGUGGGUUUGCCAUCCUAUCAAACAUUUUCAUAAUUCAAUUAAUUCAUAGGAUUACAUAAAACAAUAUUUAAUAAAAUUGAAAUUUAAAUCCAAUAUUUAUGAUCUUUAUUUGUAAAAGUAUAUUAAAUUUUUAAAAAAGAUUGCUGUUCCCGAGAAGGAGUGAUUCUAAUGUGAUAAUGAGUGUGGAUAAAUGUAUUAAGGAAAGUUGGAAAAGAUUUUCUUUUUGGUAAAUUGCAAUGUUUGGAUAGGUUAAGCAGCACUUUCAGCUAUAAUUAUUUUAAGCUUUGGAGGUCUAACGUGGACUCCUCAAGUCAAUCAUUAUUUGUUAGCUGCAUGCAUAUAUUAUGUCCAUUGCCCAUUUUAGUUAUUCGUAGUGCUUGGAAUUUCCAUUCCCAUCUAGCAUGCGUCUAUGACUCUAUGUCAUAACUUCCACUAACACAUAUACUAAAUUCUACCACUAUAUAAUAAUAAUAAUGGUAAUUUCUAAUUUAUAGAAUUAUUCAUGGGUCGGAUUGAAUUACGUUUAAAAAUGAAACAAUUUGAGUAAAAAUAUAGGCCCAAAAAUUAGAUUUGAAAAAAAAAUAAGGUGCAUUUAGAAAAUAGACUGGGCCUCGAGUAAGUUUUUUUUGGGUUAGAUCAAGCAUGAAUUUGCAAUAAAAAAACCUUGUUGUUUUUUUUGCUAUUUUUUUUUUCACUUUUUACCAUUGUUUUAUUACUCUUUCACUAUUAUGUUGCUACUAUCCUGUUGUUAAUGUUUAGAUAUUAUAUACCACUUAUUUUAUUGUUAGCUUUGUUACUAUUUUAAAAACAUUUCCUUGUCAAGUUGUAUUUAUCUUAAUGUUAUUUAAGUAUAAAGACUCUUUUUAAUUUAUUUUCAAUUUGUUGGGAAACAUUUAAUUUAAUAUUUUUAGUAUAUUUGGUGUAUUAUAUUUUUUAAAUUUUUAUAUAAAAAAUUAAUACGAUCAGACCGGCUAAAAUUUUAACAUUUUUAUCUGAAUUAACUUAGAUAAAAAUUUAGACCCAUUUUUAUAUCAGAUCUGAGCCUAGAAUUCUGUUUGAGUCGGCCCGACAAUGAAAAAACUCUAAUAAUAAUGAAUGAAUGAAAUUAGAUAAUAUCACACGAAUAAAUAUCAUUAUAGGCAGGACCCGAUGUGGGAAUUCCGAAAGAAGAAAAUAGGCAGUCUAGGCAUAAUUUAGGCUCCAUUCCAAGCUAUAGCAUUAACCUGGUGCGGUUUAUUUUAAGGAAAAAAUUACUUAAAAUUUGCCCCAUUCUUUUGGUUUACAAUUUCAGGCAUCCCCUUCAUUUUGUAAGAACUCAUUCAAGAUGUUAGCCUUAAUUUGGGAAAUAUUAUAUAAGAGGUACCCCACGAGGAGUUGCUAUCGAUACAGCUAGAUUGAAAGUCCAAUUAAGAAAUUAAAGAAAAAGGGCUUGAUGGGAUUAGUUCACAUAAAUAUAUAAAAAAAAUACAAAAACUAAAAGACAGAGAAAGAAAAUAAUAAAGCAAAAGAAGUUGCUUGAUCAAUAAUCAUGUUCGUAUAAAGUAUAAACAAUUUGUUUCUUGUAUUUUUCAGAUAACUAUCACCAUUUCCAUUUGAGAAUUUCAUUAGACGAAUUAUAUUUUUCACAUUAGCCGGCUGCUCAUAAAAACACAUACGCCUGGAUUUUGUGAUAGAAUUUGAAAACAAAAUUCUAUUAUUUUCCCAUUAAAAUCAUUAAACACCUCUUUUUUUUAAUAAAAAAAAUAUACCUUUAUCACCUUUAAAUCCCAAUAAUGUCUAAACACACAAUAAUUAACGUUGCUGUGGUUUCAAAUUGUCACUAUUGUCCCGAAAAUACAUUGCAGUUCGGCACUGUUAAUUUUAAGAACACUUCUCAAAUCUGGCAUUAAUUUGCAGCAUUAGGGACCCAAUUUUGAGCAAGCAACAAACGAACAUUAAAUCAGAUUAAUUAAUUCCAGGGUUGAUAUUGCUGCCGUGAAGAAGCUUCUGAUUUGAUGUAUACAGAACAAAUCAAAGAUAAUAUUGUUGCCAAAAAGAAAAAGGCUUUAAACUUAGGGUGAAAUAAGGAAAUAUAUUGCUUUUAGGUCACAACUUCACCAAGCUGUAAAGAAAUCUUACUAAGUUUGGACAAUAACAAUUGUAAUCAACGAAACUUUAACACACCAUGAACUCAAAACUUAGCAUAGCUCUUCCCAAGUACCGUGCUUGGUAGGCAACGUGUUGAGUGCCUAUUAGUAGAGUAGUUUGUUAAUUGUGCAUUAUGAUAUAUGAUCCAAGGAUGACGUGUAAGAAUGGGUAACCUAUAUCUUGUGUCUCCACUCUCAUACAGAAUAUAUAUAAUGGAGUGUGCUUGUAAGAUGAGAAAUUAAGCUGGACCAUGGGUGCCACUAUCAUUUCCCCGACCUUCCUCUCUGCUUAUCUUCUUCUUUUAUGCCUUGUCUGCUCUUUGAAGGAGGGGUAUGCCUUGGGACGAAGAGCAACUGUUGCAGAGAGUCACCACCUUGAGCACAGCCAUACCAUCCAAGUCAGCUCUCUUCUACCCUCCUCUAUUUGCAGCCUUGCAACCAAAGGUUAACUACCUCAUCUCUCUCUCGCUCUCUCACACACCAACCAACCAGGCUUGAGCUAGCUCUUGGCUUGUUCAUUACUUUAGUAUUUUACAGUAAAAACAAUCAUUAAGAUCAUGCUUUAUUGAGUCCACUGUGCUGGCUGGCGGGCUAGCAUUCAUGUCAGUAGGAUCGUAUUUGUUGAUUAAGCUUAUCGUUAUACUCAACGUAUAUAGUCAUGUCUGCUGUCUGCUGCUUUGCCAGUUGCAGAGCAGUAGUUAGCCUUUCUUCUCUUUUCCCUGGUCCAUUUAGAAUAAGUCAUUUUCAAUAGUCUUUUUUGGACAAAAGAAUAAUUUGUUCAUUUAUCCAAAAGAAGUAGCCAAGCUGCUACGACAAAAACACCAUGCCAGUAGUAGCAGUACAGCACACAUACUAAGCUAAUUAAACCUAGAGAUUCGUUCAAAAGAAAAACACAGACAUGUUCAGCACCCAAGCACGGCAGAGAUCGUUUUUAAACAAGUGUCUAGCAAUAUUUCUAAUUCCAUAAAGCCUGAAACAAAAUAGACAAAAAGCAGCAGUGUGCUAUUUUUCCCUCCAUAAAUCUUGUAUUUUCUCCUUUCCAGAUACUGUAAAAGGGAAGCUUUCCAUGCAAAACGAAGAAUUACAGCCAAUAAUACAAUUUCCUUUUUGGACUUGAAUUGAGUCCAUUGAAACUCCACUAACCUUUUCGUACUUGGAAUAUAUGCCAACCGACUCUAACCAGUGCCACACCCGUAGGACCCUCUUUUCCAAUCCGUAACAAACUUGAGCUAAAUUGAUUGUCCUUCUUGAUGACUUUUUAAGGCAAAGAUAAAUUUCAUUAUUUGAAUUUAAUAAUGAGUUUUCCAUUAAUUAUUAAAAUACAUUUUUUUCUUUAGAAAAAAAGGGUAAGUUAAUUAUUAUCCUUAAAAGUCCUAGUCCAUGGGAGGCCAGAGGUAGGUUAUGCUUUGAGGCCAGUUCAAGCAUUGUUUAGCGACUUUGGUCAUAUGAAAAGAUAUAAAAAGAAUCUAAAAAAAAGUAAAGGAAUAAUUUUGUCUUCAAACAUUGCUCUGACAACAUAAUGAAAAGGAGUACGGUGUUGGAUAAAUACUCGUUGCUCGUAGGCAGUGCAAUAGCUAAGGUAAGGUGCAUGAAUAUGAUUGGUGAUGCAAUGAUUGAAUCUAAGGAAAACUUUUCAUUUUUCUCCCUUUUUUUUUAUGAUUUCAAAGCUUUUGGAACUAAUAUUUUGAAAUUUUUAAUUAAUUGCAAAGAUUUAAGGAAAUUUGGUUUUGUUUUUCAUUAAUUCAAAAGAUUAGCUAACCACAAUCUUAAAUCUCAGAUAAUUAUAUGUUUUUGGAUUUCCUGAUUUUCUGUAUUGGAAAGCAAUGCUCUGUUGUCGUUAAAACAUUUUUCUCAAUCUUUAGGUAAUGCAUUAUUGGGCAGUCACUUUCAUCAGCGAUUUAUCAUACCUAAUAAUAGCAAUUUAAUAGUAAAUUAUCAAUGAAUCAACUAGGGAAGGAUGUGAAACAAUAGGUUAAUCCAUUUUUUCAUAAUCAAUUUUAAACAAAUAAUUUGCAUUGACCCCAUCAUAUAUUAAUUAGCAGUUUUAAUUUUAUCUUUAAUUCUUAAAACAUUCUAGUAUUGGAAUGCAUAUGUGAUGUAUGGUUUCCACUUUCAGUAUUAGACAAAAAGUCAUCUUUACAAGUUGUCCACAAGCAUGGUCCAUGCUCUCAACUCUAUCAUCACGAUAAAGCAAAUAUCCCCACUCACGCCGAGAUCCUCCUCCAAGAUGUAGCCCGGGUCAAGUCCAUCCACUCAAAACUUGCCAAGAGCCUAGGCUCUACCAAAGUCGACCAGACUGAUGCAGCCAAUAUCCCUGCCAAGGAUGGCAGCGUGGUGGGGUCGGGCAAUUACGUAGUUACCGUGGGUCUAGGUACCCCGAAGAAAGAUUUAACUCUCAUAUUUGAUACUGGAAGUGACAUUACAUGGACACAAUGUCAGCCUUGUGUAGGAACUUGCUAUAAACAGCAAGAUCCUGUUUUUGCCCCAUCCUUGUCCUCAACAUAUUCCAACAUUUCAUGCAGCUCAACUACCUGCAAUUCACUGGCUUCUGCAACAGGUAACUUUCAUCGAUUUUGUUGCAUAUCUUUCAAGCCUGGAUUCAAAUAACUAGAUAAUUCGUUGUUAUUAUAUACUUUCAGGUAACACACCUGGCUGUUCAUCAUCAGCUUGUGUCUAUGGCAUUCAAUAUGGAGACUCAUCUUUCUCAGUUGGAAUCUUUGCUAAAGAAAAGCUCACCUUGACAUCAACUGAUGUGUUCGAUGACUUUCUAUUUGGUUGUGGCCAAAAUAAUCAAGGUCUUUUCGGAGGGGCAGCCGGAUUGAUAGGACUUGGCCGAGAUAAAUUAUCUCUACCUUCACAAACCGCCUCUAAAUACAGGAAAUACUUCUCCUACUGCUUGCCAUCAUCCUCCAGCUCAACAGGUUUCCUCAGUUUUGGCUACGGUGGUGUAUCGAAAUUCGUAAAUUUCACAACGUUGACCACUAUCUCCCAAGGUACAUCCUUUUACGGAAUUGACAUUGUUGGAAUAAGCGUUGGUGGCAAAAAACUACCGAUAUCAGCCUCUGUUUUCACUGCUGGCGGCUCCAUCAUUGACUCUGGAACUGUCAUCACCCGACUACCACCGACAGCAUAUACAGCACUGAGCUCUGAAUUUAGGAAACUGAUGAGCCAAUAUCCAAAGGCACAACCACUUUCAAUCCUGGAUACAUGCUAUGACUUUACCAAGUUUUCUUCGGUUAGUGUACCUAUGAUAAGCAUCUUCUUCAGAGGGGGUGUUGAGGUUCCGAUUGCCGCAAAGGGAAUUUUGUAUGUUAAUACUAUCUCGCAAGUGUGUCUAGCGUUUGCCGGUAACAAUGACGACACAGAUGUAGGGAUCUUUGGGAAUACACAGCAAAAGACACUGCAAGUCGUAUACGAUGGUGUUGGAGGGAAACUUGGGUUUGCUACAGGGGGAUGCUCCUAAGUUUUUUAAGCUAAUUGAGAAGAAAAUCUUCGAGUUAGCUGUCAAAUCAAAGAAUAAUUCAUAUGAUAGCAAGAUUGGCUUAAGACUGAAAUAAUCAAUACACCACUACUUCAAAUGUCGGAUUCUUCUCUGCUCUUUUCUUCCCAUACAUCAUUCAAG